rnacentral:rRNA from 1 species
AUACGGAGGAUGCGAGCGUUAUCCGGAUUUAUUGGGUUUAAAGGGAGCGCAGGCGGAGAUGCAAGCGUGACGUCAAAUUUCGGGGCUCAACCCCGUCUCGCGUCGCGAACUGCGUCCCUUGGUUGCGGGAAGGGGAGGCGGAACUCGUGGUGUAGCGGUGAAAUGCAUAGAUAUCACGAAGAACUCCGACCGCGAAGGCAGCCUUCCGGCCCGUCAACGACGCUCAUGCUCGAAGGUGCGGGUAUCAAACAGGAUUAGAUACCCUGGUAGUCCGCACAGUAAACGAUGGACACCCGCGGUUUGGCCUAUAUGGCUGAGCCGCCAAGCGAAAGCGUUAAGUGUCCCACCUGGGGAGUACGCCGGCAACGGUGAAACUCAAAGGAAUUGACGGGG